rnacentral:rRNA from 1 species
GACGAACGCUGGCGGCGUGCCUAAUACAUGCAAGUUGAGCGCUGAAGGUUGGUACUUGUACCAACUGGAUGAGCAGCGAACGGGUGAGUAACGCGUGGGGAAUCUGCCUUUGAGCGGGGGACAACAUUUGGAAACGAAUGCUAAUACCGCAUAAAAACUUUAAACACAAGUUUUAAGUUUGAAAGAUGCAAUUGCAUCACUCAAAGAUGAUCCCGCGUUGUAUUAGCUAGUUGGUGAGGUAAAGGCUCACCAAGGCGAUGAUACAUAGCCGACCUGAGAGGGUGAUCGGCCACAUUGGGACUGAGACACGGCCCAAACUCCUACGGGAGGCAGCAGUAGGGAAUCUUCGGCAAUGGACGAAAGACUGACCGAGCAACGCCGCGUGAGUGAAGAAGGGUUUCGGAUCGUAAAACUCUGUUGGUAGAGAAGAACGUUGGUGAGAGUGGAAAGCUCAUCAAGUGACGGUAACUACCCAGAAAGGGACGGCUAACUACGUG